rnacentral:rRNA from 1 species
UUGCCUUAGUAACGGCGAGUGAAGCGGCAACAGCUCAAAUUUGAAAGCUGGCCCUUUUAGGGUCCGCGUUGUAAUCUGUAGAGGAUGGUUCGGCGAGGGCUCCCGCCUAAGUCCCCUGGAACGGGGCGUCAUAGAGGGUGAGAAUCCCGUAUGCGGUGGGUUGCUUUAGCCAUGUGAACCUCCUUCGACGAGUCGAGUUGUUUGGGAAUGCAGCUCUAAAUGGGAGGUAAAUUUCUUCUAAAGCUAAAUACCGGCCAGAGACCGAUAGCGCACAAGUAGAGUGAUCGAAAGAUGAAAAGCACUUUGGAAAGAGAGUUAAAAAGUACGUGAAAUUGUUGAAAGGGAAGCGCUUGCAACCAGACUUGUCCGCAGUUGCUCAGCCGGUCUCCUGACCGGCGUACUCUUCUGCGGCCAGGCCAGCAUCAGUUCGGGCGGUCGGAUAAAGGCCUCGGGAAUGUGGCUCCUCUCGGGGAGUGUUAUAGCCCGGGGCGGAAUGCGGCCAGCCUGGACUGAGGAUCUCGCUUCGGCAAGGAUGCUGGCGUAAUGGUUGUAAGCGGCCCGUCUUGAAACACGGACCAAGGAGUCUAACAUCUAUGCGAGUGUUUGGGUGUCAAACCCAUACGCGUAAUGAAAGUGAACGGAGGUGGGAACCCGCAAGGGCGCACCAUCGGCCGAUCCUGAUGUCUUCGGAUGGAUUUGAGCAAGAGCAUAGCUGUUGGGACCCGAAAGAUGGUGAACUAUGCCUGAAUAGGGUGAAGCCAGAGGAAACUCUGGUGGAGGCUCGCAGCGGUUCUGACGUGCAAAUCGAUCGUCAAAUUUGGGUAUAGGGGCGAAAGACUAAUCGAACCAUUAACAUUGGCGGCCCUUUGUUACGCGCUUAGGCUGCUAGGUGGUUAAGAGGUAGCUAAAAGUGCUUACCUAGUCCCUCUGUCGGGGCAACAUCGUCAAACUGUUCGGGGACGUCCUUAGAGCUUAGACUAC